AGCUCCAAUAGCGUAUAUUAAAGUUGUUGCGGGUAAAAAGCUCGUAGUUGGAUUUCUGUCGGGAGAGGGUGGUCUGCAUUUCGUGCACGUAUCUACCACUGUCUCGGCAUCCGGAAGUUUAAGUUUGUUGCUUCACUGCAAUAAGCGUAGGCUUCUCUUUUACUUUGAGGAAAUUAGAGUGUUCACGGCAGGCUUUCGCCUUGAAUACAUUAGCAUGGAAUAAUAAUAUAGGACUGCGGUUCUAUUUUGUUGGUUUCUAGAGCUGCAGUAAUGAUUAAUAGGGACGAUUGGGGGCAUUCGUAUUAUCACGUCAGAGGUGGAAUUCUUGGAUUGUGUUACGACGAACUACUGCGAAAGCAUUUGCCAAGGAUGUUUUCA
rnacentral:rRNA from 1 species